rnacentral:piRNA from 1 species
UGGCUUCUGGAUUAACUGAAAACUGAGUAA